rnacentral:misc_RNA from 1 species
GAUGAAGAACGCAGCGAAAUGCGAUAAGUAAUGUGAAUUGCAGAAUUCAGUGAAUCAUCGAAUCUUUGAACGCACAUUGCGCCCGCCAGUAUUCUGGCGGGCAUGCCUGUUCGAGCGUCAUUUCAACCAUCAAGCCCCCGGCUUGUGUUGGGGACCUGCGGCUGCCGCAGGCCCUGAAAAGCAGUGGCGGGCUCGCUGUCACACCGAGCGUAGUAGCAUACAUCUCGCUCUGGGCGUGCUGCGGGUUCCGGCCGUUAAACCACCUUCAUAACCCAAGGUUGACCUCGGAUCAGGUAGGAAGACGCGCUGAACUUAAGCAUAUCAAUAAGCGGAGGA